rnacentral:rRNA from 1 species
UGCUAAUACACAUGUUCGGCAGUCAGACUGCGAGUGCUAAGAUCCGUAGUCGAAAGGGAAACAGCCCAGACCAACAGCUAAGGUCCCAAAAUAUAUGUUAAGUGGAAAAGGAUGUGGGGUUGCACAGACAACUAGGAUGUUAGCUCAGAAGCAGCUAUCAUUCAAAGAGUGCGUAAUAGCUCACUAGUCGAGUGACCCUGCGCCGAAAAUGUACCGGGGCUAAACAUAUUACCGAAGCUUUGGAUUGAUAUUUUAUCAAUGGUAGGAGAGCGUUCUUAACCGCGAUGAAGGUAUACCGUGAGGAGUGCUGGAGCGUUAAGAAAUGAGAAUGCCGG